ACAGGUUCAUUUCAGCUGUGCUCUCUGCCUCUCCGAGCACCCAGGGGAGCACCCAGGAUCACCCAAGGAGGCUUCUGUGAGCCACGGGACGAACAAUCUGCAGCAGGGCAUCCCGGCAUGUUCUAAUGCUCAAAGCCAGGUCGGAAGGUGAAGAAAGUGUGCUGCUUAAAUCUGCCCAAACUCCACAAAAAGGUGCAUAAAGGUAUACAUUUCAGAAUGACUCAGAUGGAAAUCAGGAAACACUGCAUGCCUUGUCCUCAGCGAGCCCAGCUGAUGGCUUCUGGACCCCUUCCACAGUUAAAAUGAGCAGACUGUGAGCAGGGUGAAAAGCAUCUGCCUGCCAGCGCUUUACUUGGUUGAGGGCCCUCCUUUCACAGACAGGACAUGACUCUAUAUUACUUUAUUUUUGGUUUGGGAAAGGCUUCAGUCAGUACUGCUUAUGCAUUCACUCAGGCUCCUUCAUCUUGUUAACGUUAGCCUGGCAACUAAAGAGUCGGGCAAAGCUGCCGGGCUGCCGCUGGAGUGUGGCAGUUCCAUGUCCCUCUGCUCCGAACAGGGAAUCAGCUCCUCAUAUAAGAGAAAGAGGAGAGCUGGCUGAAGGGCCGGCCGAAUCACUCGGGUUGCAUUUUUGCACUGCCUAAAAGGCGGGAAAGGGCUGAUGUUGUUGUUUCUGGUUAGGAGUCUGUAUGCAUAUUUAAUCUUUUCUGUGAAUGAUUUAUAUUGGCAAAAUAAUUUUCUUUGUAGCUAAGCACAUGAUGAUUUUUCCCGCAGUCUUUGUUCUCAAUGCUCAAAAUCCACUUGGGAGUGAAUUUCUAGUGAGUGAGAAAGAGCUCAUCAUUUAGAAGGAGCUGAGGAACUAGAUAAGCAGGGUUGUUAAAAUAGUGGUAAAGGACCAGAUUCAAGUACAGUGCUAAACUUUGCAAUAUCUCCUCUAGGGGUUUAAAUCUGGCUUUAAAAGCAAAGGAACUGUUCUUUAACUUCCCAGAACGUCAUCAGGUGGUUAUUAAACAGCCUACUGAAAGGGUGUUAAAGCUAAUCACAUUAAAUCCCUUCUCUCUGAAGCCAGAAGGCAGCUGUUCUUUUAAGACACCUGAGCUGUGUGUCCACCUUAAUAAAUAAAACUCACUGGAGCUUGAAAUAAAGGCCAAGAAUAAUACCACAGGGCUGGGUAACAGUGAAACUGAAGCACCCUCUGCUGAUGUCAUUAGUGGCGACUGGGUUCUUCACUCCAGUGUCUCCUGUCCUCCUCUGCCCGUCCCCCGCGUAUGCUGCCAGUUCUCUGCCUGGGGUGCCCCCUUAAACCAGAAUUAUUGGACGUUCAUAAAUUUGGUUUUCCUUCCAGCGAAUAUGAGGAGGAGCAGAAAUCCUCUCUGCUGUUGGGCGAGCUGCAGAUUGCAAAUAGCAGUUUUCCCCUCAGUACUCACAGUACUGCUGUUUCCCUUAACAUAAUACUGUAUAUGAUAGAAGUGCUCUCGGUGCCCUUUGGAGUUUGAGGGGGUUGAAUGGGACAGUCGAGGGCUGUUGUAUCUCACAAGGGCAAAUGCAUUUCCAGGGGUCAAGUUUGGGGGCACUCGUGUGUGGCCAUGCUCCCUUACCAGCAGUGUUUCUAUUGUAACCGAGCAAUUGAACCUAUUUCUGACUCUUCUGUGUGCUUGUUAUGACUUUAUUUUCUUUUUGGUUUUGAGAUUAGAUAGAUCUGACUCUUAGCUCCUUAUUUUUGAAGAGCUUACUUACCACGCAUAGCAUUUUUGUAUUGAGAAUAAAGGAGCUGCCAGUCCUCCUCACAAGAUCUGAGGCAGAAGGUUGGUGAAGGAUCUGUGGUUGAUUGUUCUGCCGCUGAUCACUGGGCAAACAUUUUAUUUUUAUUUUGUCUUUUGAAGCUCGCGGAAGGAAUCCGUAGAAUGCAAAUGACAAGUAAAUGUAAAAAGCAUGUUUUGGUAUUAAAUGUGUUUGCAGCAGAGUUUUACGCUGUAAAACAUGGCCACGUGUGUUCACAGCUCUGUAUAAAGUCUUGCUAACGGGUACGAAGAUUCCGUUCCCUAAUGUGAGUUUAAGCCCAUUUAUUUUGCAUCUGAAAAAUGCUGUGUGGUUUUUCUCUUUGCUCCGCAACCUCCAACCAGUGUGCUCCACGUUCUCCAGCCCUGCUGCAGGCGACACGUGCUCUCUGACAGCAGAAACAUAAGCCCCGAAGACCGUUUGCUCAAUUGGAGAAACGCUCUGGGUCUCUGGAGGGAUGCGGGGACGUCACCCAGUGCACUGGAGUAUUUUUACUCACUCGAUUUCCCAAACUGGCCUCAACCUAAGGUUGUGGGCUACUCAAAAAUGUUACUUGUGUGAGGUCUUGGUCUUGACUGAACAGACUAAAGCAGGAAUCCUUGAAUAUUUCAGCAUGAACUGUGACUGCUGCCCAAACAUGCUUUUUUGCCCUGUCUGGAGGUGUUGGGAUGUCGUGUGUCAGCCUCGGAAGGUGAUUUAUCAACAGAGUUUGACAUGUACCAGGCCAUUUUCCUCGUCUGGUAGAACAGAGCUACCAUCUGAUUACGACUUCACUUACAGGCAUCUGUUCUGCCUUUCGUUUUCCUUUCAUUUCUCUGUAUAUUUUUUUGGCACUACCUGAGGAGAAACAUAUU